CCUACGGGGGGCAGCAGUGAGGAAUAUUGGUCAAUGGACGAGAGUCUGAACCAGCCAAGUAGCGUGAAGGAUGACUGCCCUAUGGGUUGUAAACUUCUUUUAUAUGGGAAUAAAAUGUUCCACGUGUGGGAUUUUGUAUGUCCCAUAUGAAUAAGGAUCGGCUAACUCCGUGCCAGCAGCCGCGGUAAUACGGAGGAUCCGAGCGUUAUCCGGAUUUAUUGGGUUUAAAGGGAGCGUAGGUGGAUUGUUAAGUCAGUUGUGAAAGUUUGCGGCUCAACCGUAAAAUUGCAGUUGAAACUGGCAGUCUUGAGUACAGUAGAGGUGGGCGGAAUUCGUGGUGUAGCGGUGAAAUGCUUAGAUAUCACGAAGAACUCCGAUUGCGAAGGCAGUUCACUGGACUGCAACUGACACAGAGGCUCGAAAGUGUGGGUAUCAAACAGGAUUAGAUACCCCUGUAGUC
rnacentral:rRNA from 1 species